rnacentral:rRNA from 1 species
UACGUAGGGGGCAAGCGUUGUCCGGAAUCAUUGGGCGUAAAGCGCGUGUAGGCGGCCAGAAAAGUCCGCUGUGAAAACUCGAGGCUCAACCUCGAGCUGUCGGUGGAAACUUUCUGGCUAGAGUCCGGAAGAGGAGAAUGGAAUUCCUGGUGUAGCGGUGAAUGCGCAGAUAUCAGGAGGAACACCGGUGGCGAAGGCGGGUCUCUGGGCCGAUACUGACGCUGAGGAGCGAAAGCGUGGGGAGCGAACAGG